UUCGAUUAAGGUUCGAGUCGAGCGUCAGCGAGACAACGUUGCCGCAGGCAACGGCCCGAAGGGUGAGGAGCGAAGCGACGAAUAAUCCUUCCCCCACCACCA
rnacentral:sRNA from 1 species